rnacentral:rRNA from 1 species
AGUGAACGCUGGCGGUAGGCCUAACACAUGCAAGUCGAACGGCAGCACAGUAAGAGCUUGCUCUUACGGGUGGCGAGUGGCGGACGGGUGAGGAAUACAUCGUAAUCUACUUUUUCGUGGGGGAUAACGUAGGGAAACUUACGCUAAUACCGCAUACGACCUACGGGUGAAAGCAGUGGAUCUUCGGACCUUGCGCGAUUGAAUGAGCCGAUGUCGGAUUAGCUAGUUGGCGGGGUAAAGGCCCACCAAGGCGACGAUCCGUAGCUGGUCUGAGAGGAUGAUAAGCCACACUGGAACUGAGACACGGACAAGACUCCUAAGAGAGGCAGCAGUGGGGAAUAUUAGACAAUGGGCGCAAGCAUGAUCCAGCCAUACCGCGUGGGUGAAGAAGGCCUUCGGGUUGUAAAGACCUUUUGUUGGGAAAGAAAAGCAGCAGGUUAAUACCACGCUGUUGUGACGGUAACAAAAGAAUAAGCACCGGCUAACUUCGUG